rnacentral:other from 1 species
AUGUGCCUGCUGUGUGCGUGAUGCCGCACCCUAAGUUUUGAGCCAACACCCAUCUGACGGGCAUUCACAUCCAGCCCUAGCGCGGUAGACAAUAGUCAAGGCGUGAAGGUUGGCGAGAUGACCCACCUGCGAAAGCAGGUUCAAAACACCGCGUUCACACGGCAUAGCGGGUACUUU